rnacentral:rRNA from 1 species
AGUGAACGCUGGCGGUAGGCCUAACACAUGCAAGUCGAACGGCAGCACAGUAAGAGCUUGCUCUUACGGGUGGCGAGUGGCGGACGGGUGAGGAAUACAUCGGAAUCUACUUUUUCGUGGGGGAUAACGUAGGGAAACUUACGCUAAUACCGCAUACGACCUACGGGUGAAAGCAGGGGAUCUUCGGACCUUGCGCGAUUGAAUGAGCCGAUGUCGGAUUAGCUAGUUGGCGGGGUAAAGGCCCACCAAGGCGACGAUCCGUAGCUGGUCUGAGAGGAUGAUCAGCCACACUGGAACUGAGACACGGUCCAGACUCCUACGGGAGGCAGCAGUGGGGAAUAUUGGACAAUGGGCGCAAGCCUGAUCCAGCCAUACCGCGUGGGUGAAGAAGGCCUUCGGGUUGUAAAGCCCUUUUGUUGGGAAAGAAAAGCAGCAGGUUAAUACCCCGCUGUUCUGACGGUACCCAAAGAAUAAGCACCGGCUAACUUCGUC